UUCACUGUUCUCUGAAAGUGGUCCUCUAAUGAACUUGUGUCCUGAUGCAUUACCUGCUUCCUCCCGCUGAAAUGAAAUGUAGAGUCAUCAGGCAACUUUGCCCUUUGGUCCUGAAUUAUGUUUGGCCAAUCGGAGCACCAAUAGGAGGUUGUAGAAGAGAAGGAUGAAGGUGUGGCGUUACUGCACCUGGACCCUCCCUACAAGAUUGUCUCAAGCUGGGUGGAAAGAUCACAUCACUGCUCAAUGCUGCCAUAACUUCAAAGGUUUAAGAUGGAAAUGGAAACCUGUACCAUUAUUCAUUUUGCAUCACAAAUAAGAAUGUGUGCUUCUCGUGGACCAGCAUUGGCGUGUUCGAAGGGAGCUGUCCUAGGGUUGUUGUAAAAGAGACCCAGCCGAGAACACCUACAGAGAGAUGGGCACCUGGAAGUCCAGCUGCUGAGAGAGAAGGCAUUGCUCCUUGGAAGGGCACACAGUUGGGGACUCCCAGUGAGAGCUCUCUUAGGAACCCAAGAAUGCACCCCAUGUGAGAGAAAGAGCCAGAAAUUUCUCCUCUACUCCGCUGAGACGGUCCAAAGCCAGAUAACAACCAGUCCCCCCAGGUAAGACCUUUUCUCUUCUUACUGCGCCUCUCUCCCCGGUGUAUCAAACUCUACAGCAGUUGUGUAUGGGUGCUGGUGAGGAAGAAGAGACAGCAGAAAGGAAGAGGCGAGAAGCCGGUCUGCAGGUCAGGGGAGACAGACCAGCCUUACAGUGGCUGAAAGAAUGGGGGUUCCGUAUAGCUGGGCUGAAUCUUCUUAAUUACCAAAGUGACCGUUCUUCUGAAUGAAAGACCAUGAAAAAGCACGUGUCUUGCUGAAGACUUCAUCCAGCAUAGAAAAGGGAGCUGCAUAGAGAAGGGGUUUAAUGGGGCAGAGGGAGAAAGAAUAAAAAGCUCUGUGCACUCUGCCAAGCCAGCUUGUUCAAUCCGUAGUUAUA